rnacentral:lncRNA from 1 species
UGGUGGACUCAAAGAGGUUAAUGUGUUCAAUCGGGUCCUCCCUUCCAGUAUAGAGUUGUAAACCAAGCUUUUGUUUUGUCUUCGCUUGAAAUGGGGUGUCGAUAAUCCUCCUUGUGAGAGGGUCAGGCCUAGGUUGGUUCCAGUUAGGUAUCUCGGCCUGACAUUCGGCCUUCAACUUGUUUACUUCCUCAAUGAGCUGUAGGACAAGGGAGUCCUGAGUGGAGUCAUGUACCACUGGAAUUUUCUUCCCUAAGUCUCCAUCGUCUCUCGGAAGU